UACAGAGGGUGCAAGCGUUGUUCGGAAUUAUUGGGCGUAAAGGGCGCGUAGGCGGUGCGGUAAGUCUUUUGUGAAAUCUCCGGGCUCAACUCGGAGUCUGCAGGAGAAACUGCCGUGCUUGAGUAUGGGAGAGGUGAGUGGAAUUCCUGGUGUAGCGGUGAAAUGCGUAGAUAUCAGGAGGAACACCAAUGGCGAAGGCAGCACUCUGGGACGUGACUGACGCUGAGACGCGAAAGCGUGGGGAGCAAACAGG
rnacentral:rRNA from 1 species